rnacentral:lncRNA from 1 species
GGGAAGGUAAGCACCAAUAGCUUUUGGCUAUGGUGACUUCCUCUGUCCAAGAGCACUCUGCCUUCCUGUGAAGAGCAGGCCUAAAGAAUUGAAAGGGGGCUCAGUUCCAAGGACCAGAGGGAACUGAGUUGUCUUGGGAUGAUCACCUGGCUUGAAAUGUCACAAACACCAGAAUUGGUGAGCCACAGAGAGCUCCAGUGCCCUGAUGAUUUGCACCAGCCUUUCUACCAUGUUGCUUUCUACCUAAAAGAAAUGGCAGUACCCACAAAAGGACUGUCAUUAUGGAAUCUAGGAAGGAGAAGCCAGAGGACAGUGUCUGGACAGUGCUAUUCCUGCAUUUGACAAGGAAGAUGGUGCCCAGGUCCUGGCUAGAGAAUGUAAAUGCCCAUGAUGCAUGUAGCUUUAUAAAGGAGAGGGUAUAUAAGGUGUCAGAUUCAAAGAUUCCAACCUAAGUCCCUGCUACUUGCUUCCAAGGACACAAAGAAGCUUUCUGAAUCUAACUUGGCUUCCUGCAAUCUACACUCUUGCACAUUCUUACUGGAUUUCUUGUGGAAAAUGAACACAGAGUUAUCUGGCCUGAAUGUCCAUCUGAGUUUCGUACACCUAAAAUAAUUCCCUGGAUUAAACAGACUGGCAGAACCUCAAAGCCCCCAAAGGACCAGACUGCAUCCUGACCUCUAGAAACCCGUCUUAUGUAUCUUUCUGUAAUCCAUCUCUAGCACCAGUCACAUUCUUUCACUUUCUCUCAUCUCUGCAGCCAAUCCACUGGUUUCCUCUCCUCCAACCCACAGGUUGCUCCCACCCUGUCUCAGACCCCUGUAGUCUUCUAUAAAGAUGCCACUCAGAGAGGGUUGGAGCUGAAUGCAAAGCUGGACCCCAUACUGGAGAUCUGGCUGCAAGAGCAUGUGACUAUCAAUGAGACCAAGGCUUGUCAGUGGGUCAGAUAAAAGAAACAUAAAUCUCCAUCGGGAGGGAAAGAGGCAGUCUGCCUUUGGUGGGAGUGACACAUACUGCAGAAAGCCUUGGGCCAUUGAUCAUGAGCUUUGGAGGGCUGCUGAUGUGUGUUGGAGGGCUGACUGUUUGCCUUGGAGGGCUAACUGUGUUUAUUCUACACUUGGCUUGCGACGAUGGUCUGCAUUGAUCACACUGCAUACUUAGCUUUCUAAGGCUGACCAGACAGGUCAGGGUCCUCAAUCCCUGUCUGCAACUGGGUUGCCAACCUACCUACCUCAGUUAACUUUCUCAGGUCAUUGCCCUUAAUUCCUGGGGCAAGUCAUCACCAGUUUUCUGAAAAGAUAUGGUUGGCAUUCCUUCUAAUCUGCUGCUGCAUGUUAGUCUGAAUUUGGGGAAACUCUGAUAAAUAUUUUUAUAUUGUUUUACCACAUUUACUACAUAGACAUCUGCUUUGCAUGAUUUCUUGCUUGGUCAACCACUGUGCUGCUUUCUGGCAAAAUGGAACAAAAAUAAAUACCUUGAACUGAACAAUAGGAAAGAGAACUUAUUUUGAAUAGGUACUUUCCAAGUGAAAUGAGAACCUGAGACUGAGCCUAAAGGAGAUAAUGCUUAGCUAAACUAAACUUUUAAAUGUUUUCCAGUUGAAAAGCACCAAAAUUCUCUGAUCUCAGUGAAUUCUCAAUCUAGUCCAGAGGAGAUUCCUCAGGAACCCCAUUAUGAGGUGGUGAAGGUCACUAUAGUCAAACAAUUGUUUUUUUAUAAGAUACCUACUGAAUACUUAUAGUGAAAGGAAAUUUGCUUUUAAAAAAUAUUUAUUUUUUAGUUAUAGUUGGACACAAUGUCUUUAUUUUUUUAAAUUUUUAUAUGGUGCUGAGGAUCGAACCCAGGGCAUCGCAAGUGCUAGGCGAGUACUCUACCACUGAGCCACAAUCCCAACCCCGGAAAUUUGCUUUUUAAUCAUCCAGAACACAAAGAGGUGGGAUUUGAUGUGCAGUAAAAGAAAUCAUAAUUUAUUUUGAAUUCUAUUGUAUUUUGGUAAUGCUCUAAGCUCCGUAUUUAUGCCAUGUACUCUGAGACCAAAGUGUAUAGAUUUAAAAUUUUUUUUUCCCCAGGAAUAAGCUUAUUGAAUAAUCAUAGGUUUUUCAUCUUUUCUUUUUUGUUCAAAUGACUUAGAAUUAAUCAUUGGGAGCAAACUAAAUGGGAAAGUUUACCACACAGAAGAAUUACAUGUCAGUCCCUUUUUUUCUUUUCAAACUGCUAGGAAACUGAAUGUGCUUGUCCUGAUAGCUUGUGGUUGCUGAGUCUAUACCUGAGCUUCCUAGUAGAGUCCACCUUGUCACUUGGAGAAGUACUUUGCUGCCAGUCUUCCUUUAUACUGCCAGGAAUAUUUUCUUUUUAAAUUGAUUUUUUAAAAAAAAUUCUUGUGGUGCUAUGGAUGGAACCCAGGGCCACAUGCAAACUAGGCAAGUGCUCUACCACUGAGCUACACUCCCAGCCUUAUCCUGCCAAGUGUAAAACCUUGGUGGCAACUUCAAAUUCAGGGGGAAAGUGGGUUAUUAGAGAAGUGUGAAAAUAAAUGUCUAACCACUUUGGAAAAACUGGUUUGCAAUAAAUACAAUUGACGAACAGCGAGUAAGCUCCAUAAAAUUCUUGCACAUCAAUAAGUAAAACUGUACUAUCUUCCUGCUGGAGAAAAAGUGAUCAUAUAAUUCACAGCAAUCUAUUGAUAUUUUCCUUGGAAGCUGUAUUUUUCCUAGUUUUAUUGAGGUAGGAUUGACAAAUAGAACUAGUAUAUAUUUAGGGUAUUCAAUGAGCUGAUUUGAGACAUAUAUUCAUGAAGAAAUGAUUACUAAAUCAAGCUAACAUAUACAUCACCCAUCACCUCACAGAGGUUAUGAAAAAUAGUUACCUCUUUUUUUUUAAAUGUGUGGUGAGAAUACUGAAGAUCUAAUCUCAUAGUAAACUUCAAGAAAACACUGCAUUAUGACUAAUAUCUCUAGUUACCAUAUGGUACACAGAGCUCUAGAAUGUAUUCAUUUUAUAACUGGAAGUUUCUGAUCUUUGAUCAACAUCUUCCUAUUUCUCCCACUCCCUGACCCCUGGCAACCACCUUUCCUCCCUGUUUCUCUGAGUUCAGCUCUUUUAGAAUCUACAUACAAGUGAGAUAAUGCAUAAUGCAGUGCAUCCCACUCUGUGUCUAGCUUAUUUUACUUAGCAUAAUGUCCUCCAGGUUAAUCAAUGUUGGAUGGCAGGGUUUCCUUCCUUUUUUUUUAAGGUUUUAAUAUUUCAGCGCAUGUGUGUAUGUGUGUGUGCACCUGUGUGAGUAUCUGACGUCACCCAUUUGUCUGUUGAUGGGCACUAGGGUCAUUUCCAUGUCUUGCCUGUUAUGAAUAGUGCUGCGAUGAACAUGGGAGCGCAGAUGUCUCUUUGACAUACUGAUUUCCUUUCCUUUGAACAUGUACCAAGAAGUAGGGCUGCUGGUUUGUGCUUAGUUCUAUUUUAAAUUUUUUUAGGGAACUUCCAUAAUGUUUUCCAUAAUGAAUUCACUAAAUUUACAUUCUAACCAACAGCGAAAAAGGCUUCUCUUUUUUCUGUCAAUGUCAAUCUUUGCCAAUGCUUCUUUUGGGGGUUUUGGAUAAUAGCCAUCCUGACAGGUGUGAGGAG